GCGGAGCAGUUUAAAUGGCGAAAAUAUCGGUCUCAUAAACCGAAGACUACAGGUUCAAAUCUUGUCUCCGCA
rnacentral:tRNA from 1 species